rnacentral:rRNA from 1 species
UACAGAGGGUGCUAGCGUUGUUCGGAAUCAUUGGGCGUAAAGGGCGUGUAGGCGGUUUGUUAAGUCAUGUGUGAAAUCCCUCGGCUCAACCGAGGAACUGCGACGGAUACUGCUUGGCUUGAGUCCCGGAGAGGGUAGCGGAAUUCCCAGUGUAGCGGUGAAAUGCGUAGAUAUUGGGAGGAACAUCGGUGGCGAAGGCGGCUACCUGGACGGGUACUGACGCUGAUGCGCGAAAGCUAGGGGAGCAAACAGG